GGUUCAAUCUACAACCUGAGCCAUGUCCGACAAGUUACAUGAAUGGAUAACGUAAAUAUGGUUAUUCUCCAGCAGAGGGCGCCAUUGCAUUUUUUUGAGCAGGUACUAAUGAUACAGUACAAUUCCAACCAAUAUAAAGUACCAAUAGUGAUUUUUUUAGGGCUUCCAAAGUGGGGAAAUUACACUUUUUUAAUACUCAUACAUUAAAAAAAAUUACAAUAACUAUUUUAAAAUAGUUUUUUUAAUCAACUUGUUUGAGUUUCACUUUUGUCCCCCUUGCGAUAUUGUAAUUUAUUGAGCUGCACCUGUGUAUUAAGUACAAAUAUAUAAAAAAAAAACAGUUCUGUACAACGUCCAUCCAUCAUGUUUCAUCAGAGAUAUUUUUCAAGCAUCUGCGGUCUUUAACAAAAAUUAUUUACAGUUGCGGUCAGAAGUUGACAUAUGCUCAUACUGGGCUUCAAUGUUAUUAUUCCAGAAUAGAAUAAUUACACAACAUACGUUUUCAAAAAAAAUGAAUGAAUAGGGGGAAAAAUAUUUUUUUCUUCUAAUUUUUACGUAACGUGAUUUUUCAAAAUCAUUAAAGAUAUCGAUGUUGUGUAAUCAUUCUGCCCUACAAAAAGACAGCUUCAAAUAAAACAUUAAGCGCCCGAAGAUGACAUAAUAUUAAUCCCCACGAUGAGUGUAGGUCAUAUUUUUGUAUAUGAAAUCCAGUCCAGCUGAUGGACACAUCUCAUGUCUUCUUCCUCUUCACCAUGGGUCGUUCAAACACGUCUCUUACGCCCGCUGCCUUCUGCUUGAAGAAUUUGCUGUUCUGAGCCGUCUCCUGAGCCCACGCCGAGUCAAACGACGUGGUAUCCUGGUCCACCAAGUGGGUGUACUUGGUUCGUCCAGACCGACCAAAGUUUUUGACCUAAAUGAUGCAGGGGAAAAAUGCAACCAAUCAAAGGGAAAAAUUUACAUGUCGCGCAGACCUCACAGCUAGGAGACCCCAAGUUCAAUUCCACCCUCGGCCAUCUCUGUGUGGAGUUUGCAUGUUCUCCCCCCCCCCCCCGUGCAUGCGUGGGUUUUUUCCGGGUACUCCCGGUUUCCUCCCACAUUCCAAAAACAUGCUAGGUUAAUUGGCGACUCCAAAUGUGAGUGUGAAUGGUUGUUUGUCUAUAUGCGCCCUGUGAUUGGCUGGCGACCGGUCCAGGGUUUACCCCGCCUCUCGCCCGAAGACAGCUGGGAUAGGCUCCAGCACUAUAUUGACACUAACUAUGGUACCCAUUAUGUCAUUGGAUGGUCAAAUCACCUCGUACUUCGGUACGUGAUAAACAAAAAAUAAAAUAUUUAAAAAAAAAUUAACAUUUAAGAAAAUGAAAGUUGAAAUUUAAAAAUAACAGCUGUAAUUUUUUUAAAAUAAAGUCAACAUUUUAAGCCAAAAAAACUCAUAAUUAAAAAAAAAAAAAACUUAAACCAUAUUUGGAAAGCAGGAAGUGAACAAAUGUAACAGUUACUGAUUGUAAAUUUUUUUGAAAAAUUAAAGUUGAAAUUUAAAAAUAACAGCUGUCGUUUUUUUUAAAAAAUAAAGUCAACAUUUUAAGACAAAAAAGUCAUAAUUUUACAAGAAUAGACUCAUCAUAUGAUGACGGACAAUGAUGUCAUUUCUGUUGCAUAAAAUAUAAAAUAGAAAUACCAUAUAAAAAUAAUAUUAUUUUUGAAAAACUAACAUGAAAAAUAUAUUCUGUAAUAUUACGGAAAUAAAAUCAAAAUAUUAUGGUAAUAAAGUCGUAAUUAUACAAAAUAAAAAUUUAUGAAGAUUAUUUAAGAAAAAAGUAGAAAAAAUUUGACAAAAAAAAUUACAAAAAAAAACUAUAUUAGGAAAGCAGGAAGUGAACAAAUGUAACAGUUACUGAUUAUAAAAAGUACCACAUGGAGGGGUAGGAUUUAAUAAGCUUUGCUUCUUCCUACUCCUUUUGGACAUGUGGAAGUGGGAACUGAUUAUUACUGGUUAUGCUGGCCCUGACUGCACAUCAAUGCAGAACUAGGACUGUAGAUGUAUCUAUCCCGCUGUGAAUGUAGUCUUUGUUGCCCGUAUGAGUCAUUAUACACAUUAUUAUUAUUAAAAAUAACAUUUGAUGCUCACCUGCAUGACUUUGGGCAAGAUGGUUUUGUUGAAGUGGUCCUCCAGAGUCGGUGCACUGAAAUCUCUCUUGUAGACGUCUUGCUCUUCGUCCUGCAACAAAAAAAAAACACGUUUACAAUUUGGAAGGACCACCACCAAGAUAUUCCCGAGGCUGUGUGAUAAUUCCAGUGACCAUAAAUAAAUAAAUGUACUCACCAUAAAGAAGGCUCCUCGGUGGUAGUACUUCUGAAGGAACUUGUAUUUGCCUUUGGAUGCUUUGUUGGUGAUGACUUUGCCGUUGUUGCGGAGCUCCGCCCUGCGUUCCUCGUCUUUCAUGUUAUGGAAUCUAUCGAUUUCCACCUUUUCCUUCUCCAUCCUGUCAACAGACAAUUUAGCACCAUUGGCUCUCUCUGCUUUCGGGAUAUUUCGGCGAUAUAUCGCGAUACUUCGUUCCAUGAUACUGUAUCAAUGUUUUUGCAUGGCAUUUAUCAUAGACUGUAUAUGUUAUUUAUUCAAGUGCAGACACGGCAAAGAUUUUAAUUUAAACCUUAGUUUAGUGACCUUUAGUCAAUUAGGCAAGGAAGUUGAACGAGAUUCACAAGUGAAUUUUUUGGGGGGGGAAAAAAUCUGCGAAUCCACUUAGGAGCGAGGACCGUGAGGACCUGCCGCUAGCAAGCAAUGCCAAGGUCCUUUUGUAGUAUACAAAAAUAGUACUGUGAUAUUGCAGGUAUUUUGUUUUUCAAAUUGAUUAAUUAAAAUUAAUUAAUUAAAAUUAAAUUAAAAUUAAAAUUAAAAUUAAAAUAAAUUAAAAUUAAAAAAAAUUAAAAUUAAAAUUAAAAUUAAAAUUAAAAUUAAAAUUAAAAUUAAAAUUAAAUUAAAAUUAAAUAAUGGUUAUUUCAAGAAUUCCAAAAAAACCUUUUUACUGAUGUUAGUUAUUUUGUUCCACAAAAAUACUGGCUAAGUCAGGGACUGUAUACUCUGCAUUUUUUCACAGUUAAUAGAUCUUGAGACAUAAUUUAAUUUAUUUGUUUUUUAUGUUUUUUUUGUAAAUUUAAAGCUGGAUGUUAAACUUUAUUUAAAGUUAUUGAAAGUUUGUGAUACAGCAUAACAUACUGUUCUAAUGGAAUAAAAAUAUGUUUAGUUUAGUAAGUGCAUAUUGCUGCUGUAAUUCAGUUUUUCCAGGAAAUAAUCUUUAAGAAAAACAAAAAAAAUAUCGCCUUGUUAACAGUAUCGUGAUAUAUCGUAUCGUGAGCCUAGUAUCGUAUCGCCAGAUUGUCGCCAAUACACAUUAACCCUAUUAAGUCAAUAAGUCAAAUAAUCAUCGAUUCUACUCACAUUUCUCGAGUUUCCCUGUCCUUCUUGAUACGUUUCAGUUCACGGACUUUCCAGGCCUCGUACUCCUCCUCCUCGUUCUCGCCGUCCGUGUCCAGGGCGUCCAAAGCGGCGAGCGUGCGACGGUUCUCCUCAAACUCCUUCUUGGCCUCCUCUUCCACUAUCUUGAGGGUGUAACGCCUCCGCUCCUCCUGCUGCCUCUUGGCUUCGGCCUCCAGCUCCCUCUGCUUCUGCUGCUCCGCUUCUCGCUCGGCCACCGUCACUCUGUCCUUCCUGGGG